rnacentral:misc_RNA from 1 species
GAUGAAGAACGUAGCGAAAUGCGAUAAGUAAUGUGAAUUGCAGAAUUCAGUGAAUCAUCGAAUCUUUGAACGCACAUUGCGCCCGCUAGUAUUCUGGCGGGCAUGCCUGUCCGAGCGUCAUUUCAACCCAUCAAGCUUAGCGCUUGUGUUGGAGCCCUGCGGCCGCCGCAGCCUCCUAAAAUCAGUGGCGGGCUCGCUAUCACGCUGAGUGCAGUAGUAUUCUUCUCACUCCUGUGGUGUAGCGGGUAACCAGCCGUAAACCCCCCCAUCUAUAAAGGUUGACCUCGGAUCAGGUAGGAAUACCCGCUGAACUUAAGCAUAUCAAUAAGCGGAGGA